GGAGAAGGGUUGUAGCUCAGUGGCACAGCACCUGCUUUGCAUGCAGAAGGUCCCGGGUUCAAAUCCCCAGCACCUCCA